rnacentral:lncRNA from 1 species
GGAGCCCCAGCUCACCCAUCACCACCUCCGCUACGACAGAGAAGAAAGGUUCGAUUCUCGCCGGCGCGGUUUUUUCGAGGCGUCGGAGACAGAGAAGACGUUGGACCUAACACCUCCCCAGCAGCCACACCGCCAGGGGCCUCAGCAGCAACGCAGCUACUCCCGCAACACCCAGGACAACCAGCGCAACCCCAGAGGGCGGGUGGUGUACAAUAACUCAAGCUACACGAGCAGUGGUAGCAGUGGUAGCAACUACCACAACUACAACAGACGCCAAGAAGAAGAGGAAACACCUGAGUGGUUCAGUGAAGGACCAACCAGUCAGAACGAGUACAUUGAGCUGGUGGGCUUCGAUGGUCCCGUCACAGACGACAGCAAAUGUGAGGCCCUCAGGAGCAGGCGAGAGUCGCCCCCCGCCGACCCCCGGCCUCCCAGCAG